CCCUUAGAUGUUCUGGGCUGCACGCGCGCUACACUGAAGCUAUCAACACGUUUUCCCUCCCUGAGAAGGGCGGGUAACCUUUUGAAUCAGCUUCGUGGUAGGGAUCGGGGCUUGCAAUUGUUCCCCGUGAACCAGGAAUUCCUAGUAGACGCGAGUCAUAAGCUCGCAUUGAUUAAGUCCCUGCCCUUUGUACACACCGCCCGUCGCUACUACCGAUUGAACGUUUUAGUGAGGCAUUUGGACCGACGCAUCUCAGUUUAACCGCUGGUUUGUGUUGGAAAGACUUCCAAACUUGAGCGUUUAGAGGAAGUAAAAGUCGUAACA
rnacentral:rRNA from 1 species